UACGUAGGGUGCGAGCGUUUUCCGGAAUUAUUGGGCGUAAAGGGCUCGUAGGCGGUUUGUCGCGUCGGGAGUGAAAACCUCGGGCUUAACUCGGGGCUUGCUUUCGAUACGGGCAGACUGGAGGUAUGCAGGGGAGAACGGAAUUCCUGGUGUAGCGGUGAAAUGCGCAGAUAUCAGGAGGAACACCGGUGGCGAAGGCGGUUCUCUGGGCAUGACCUGACGCUGAGGAGCGAAAGUGUGGGGAGCGAACAGG
rnacentral:rRNA from 1 species